rfam:Xenopus tropicalis strain Nigerian Chr06_contig_55, whole genome shotgun sequence.
ACAAAGGCUCUUCUCAGAGCCACUCACCCCCUCCCUAUAAGAUCUGU